GAUGAACGCUGGCGGCGUGCCUAAUACAUGCAAGUCGAGCGAACAGAUAAGGAGCUUGCUCCUUUGACGUUAGCGGCGGACGGGUGAGUAACACGUGGGUAACCUACCUAUAAGACUGGGAUAACUUCGGGAAACCGGAGCUAAUACCGGAUAACAUUUGGAACCGCAUGGUUCUAAAGUGAAAGAUGGUUUUGCUAUCACUUAUAGAUGGACCCGCGCCGUAUUAGCUAGUUGGUAAGGUAACGGCUUACCAAGGCAACGAUACGUAGCCGACCUGAGAGGGUGAUCGGCCACACUGGAACUGAGACACGGUCCAGACUCCUACGGGAGGCAGCAGUAGGGAAUCUUCCGCAAUGGGCGAAAGCCUGACGGAGCAACGCCGCGUGAGUGAUGAAGGGUUUCGGCUCGUAAAACUCUGUUAUUAGGGAAGAACAGACGUGUAAGUAACUGUGCACGUCUUGACGGUACCUAAUCAGAAAGCCACGGCUAACUACGUG
rnacentral:rRNA from 1 species